rfam:Paenibacillus naphthalenovorans strain 32O-Y, complete genome.
CCCACCACGCCUCUUAACAAUGCGUACCAAGGUGGGC